CGGAAUGUAGCUUAUUUAUAAAGCUAAUUAUUUACAUUAAUUCGAAAAUUUAAAUUCUUUCUGA
rnacentral:tRNA from 1 species